rnacentral:lncRNA from 1 species
GAGAUUCACCUAACUUUAAAUGAUUUGGUGGGGCCAUUCUGAAUAGACAAUAACGAUUAGUCCUUUUUCUAAGGAGUAUCAUACAUUUCUAAGUGGAUUGUUUAUAUCUGAAUGUUUGUUGCUCAUCUCAAUUCACAUUAUAAGGUUAAGAUGUGGUUUUAUUUUAUGGUUUAAUUUAUGCUCACUUAUGCUAAUUGAGGCUUGGACUAGUAGUUUGUAAGGAGUAAACAGACUAUUUUUUUCAGAUAUUCAUAUUUUGAUCAUGGCUUAAUUGUACAAAUUGUCAUUUUUGAUAUUGCAUUGACCUUUUCCAAACAUAGCUAUUUUGUAUAAAGACUUACCUUUUUUUUAAAAAAAUCAUUUCUGCAUCUUCUUCUCUAUUUUCUUCAGUUGAGGUGUGGCUUAAACUACCUUUCAGUGGAAUAAAUACUGUGACCUCUCAGGUCAACUUCUAACUGGAGAGUCUGUUCUGUGAUCAUAUACCUCUGCUAUGAUUGGAAAGAGUGAGAUCUGUGUCAGUGACGGACUGUGUACCUUUUUCAAGGAGGAAGUAGAUUUUCAGGCUCUAUUAAAGAUGUUGUGCUUACCAUGUUUCUCAUCUCCUGUAUCCAUACCAGCAGUAGAAUUCCAGUCAUCAGACUCUUGAACCCACAGCUUCUGCCACAGCCACCGCCAAGGAGAUCCCCCUCAGAGCCCAGAAAACACACAUUCAUGAUGGCAUUGCCCAGGAACUAUGAAGUCUGUUUGGAUAUGAAGAACCUGAAACUUUUGUCUGCUCAGAUGGAAGCCAGGCUGGUGGCCACGUCAGGAAGAAUGCUUGAAAGCCUCGGAAUGUACAAAAUAAGGAUGGUGAUGAAAAGGGAAGGAUGAAAUAUUGCUUGGAGACUGUCAAGAUGAUGAUACAAUGACGGAGUAAGGAGGCUCAUCACAGUAUGCAAGAAGAGAAAGAAGAAAGUAAAUACUACGGUAAUGAAUUCUUUCCCUUUCCUGGUGGCAUUCCUAAAGAUGGAAAUCAAUAAAAGAAAAAAAUCUUUUUAAAACCA